UUCCCCCAAAUCAGUUUCUCAUCAAUGUAAUCUCUGGUCAAGACUUUCAAAUCAAAACCGAAAUUGAAAAACCUUCAAACUUCUAUCGAAAGAGAUUUUCCAUAAAGCUCGCGAGACAUACAAGUACCCAAGCUGGGAAAAUAUAGCCAGCCAAAAGGAAAUAGCUGCAAUUAGGAGGUACAUCAUUGAAAAACAGGUAUGUGAAGUUUACAGAGUUUUCAUUAGACUGGGGGAGUGGUUUCCCUGUCGCAAGGAAAGAAAUACAAGAGUUCAUUUGGAAGAUGAUGUGAGGUUGAGAGUUAUAAUUGUUAAGCGUAAAAUGUUUGCAAGUUUGCAACGGAACCUCGGCCUGUGUAUGGUGAGAAAUACAGGAAUCCGCUGACGGAAGAAGGAUGCUCCAUUGUCGGAGCCAAUUUUCUGAUGGUGUUUGUCGGUUGAAAAUUGCUAGGAUGGCUUGAAGAAAUCAUGGGUGCCCAUAUUUUCAGUGAAUUAGUGCGUCGUCUAAGAGAAGCUGGAGCCUUUUGGCUCUAAUUAUUUGAACAACCAAGAAAAUUAUGGUUCGAAUUAUAAUUUUUUUCUGAUUUCUGAACAAAUCUCAACUCAGAAAACAGGUUGAAGAAAGUGCAAUUUAUCCAACUUUUUGGCUUA